rnacentral:rRNA from 1 species
UGUUUUCGGACAAUGGAUGUAGAGGAAAGUGGCGGACGGGUGAGUAACGCGUGAGGAACCUGCCUUGAAGAGGGGGACAACAGUUGGAAACGACUGCUAAUACCGCAUGAUGCAUAGGGGUCGCAUGAUCUUUAUGCCAAAGAUUUAUCGCUUCAAGAUGGCCUCGCGUCUGAUUAGCUAGUUGGCGGGGUAACGGCCCACCAAGGCGACGAUCAGUAGCCGGACUGAGAGGUUGAACGGCCACAUUGGGACUGAGAUACGGCCCAGACUCCUACGGGAGGCAGCAGUGGGGAAUAUUGGGCAAUGGGCGCAAGCCUGACCCAGCAACGCCGCGUGAAGGAAGAAGGCUUUCGGGUUGUAAACUUCUUUUAAGAGGGAAGAGCAGAAGACGGUACCUCUAGAAUAAGCCACGGCUAACUACGUGCCAGCAGCCGCGGUAAUACGUAGGUGGGAAGCGUUGUCCGGAUUUACUGGGUGUAGAGGGCGUGCAGCCGGGUCUGCAAGUCAGAUGUGAAAUCAUGGGCUCAACCCAUGAACUGCAUUUGAAACUGUAGAUCUUGAGUGUCGGAGGGGCAAUCGGAAUUCCUAGUGUAGCGGUGAAAUGCGUAGAUAUUAGGAGGAACACCAGUGGCGAAGGCGGAUUGCUGGACGAUAACUGACGGUGAGGCGCGAAAGUGUGGGGAGCAAACAGGAUUAGAUACCCUGGUAGUCCACACUGUAAACGAUGAAUACUAGGUGUGCGGGGACUGACCCCCUGCGUGCCGCAGUAAACACAAUAAGUAUUCCACCUGGGGAGUACGAUCGCAAGGUUGAAACUCAAAGGAAUUGACGGGGGCCCGCACAAGCGGUGGAUUAUGUGGUUUAAUUCGAAGCAACGCGAAGAACCUUACCAGGGUUUGACAUCCUGCUAACGAAGUAGAGAUACAUUAGGUGCCCUUCGGGGAAAGCAGAGACAGGUGGUGCAUGGUUGUCGUCAGCUCGUGUCGUGAGAUGUUGGGUUAAGUCCCGCAACGAGCGCAACCCCUAUUGUUAGUUGCUACGCAAGAGCACUCUAGCGAGACUGCCGUUGACAAAACGGAGGAAGGUGGGGACGACGUCAAAUCAUCAUGCCCCUUAUAUCCUGGGCUACACACGUAAUACAAUGGCGGUCAACAGAGGGAAGCAAAGCCGCGAGGCAGAGCAAACCCCCAAAAGCCGUCCCAGUUCGGAUUGUAGGCUGCAACUCGCCUGCAUGAAGUCGGAAUCGCUAGUAAUCGCGGAUCAGCAUGCCGCGGUGAAUACGUUCCCGGGCCUCGUACACACCGCCCGUCACACCAUGAGAGUCGGGAACACCCGAAGUCCGUAGCCUAACCAGCAAUGGAGGGCGCGGCCGAAGGUGGGUUCGAUAAUUGGGGUGAAGUCGUAACAAGGUA